ACUAUGAACCCUCUGUCCGAAAAUACUUGUCGUCAAAAUAAAUAAAAGGGGAUGUAUCUAGAUGUAUUUUAAUUCUAGAUACAUUUUUUUAUCCAUUUUAAUAACAAGUAUUUUCGGAUGGAGGGAGUACUAA
rfam:Triticum aestivum genome assembly, contig: Triticum_aestivum_CS42_TGACv1_scaffold_423452_5BS